rnacentral:rRNA from 1 species
AGCGAACGCUGGCGGCAGGCCUAACACAUGCAAGUCGAACGAAGUCUUCGGACUUAGUGGCGGACGGGUGAGUAACACGUGGGAACGUGCCUUUAGGUUCGGAAUAACUCAGGGAAACUUGUGCUAAUACCGAAUGUGCCCUUCGGGGGAAAGAUUUAUCGCCUUUAGAGCGGCCCGCGUCUGAUUAGCUAGUUGGUGAGGUAAAGGCUCACCAAGGCGACGAUCAGGAGGUGGUCUGAGAGGAUGAUCAGCCACAUUGGGACUGAGACCCGGCGCAGACUCCUACGGGAGGCAGCAGUGGGGAAUCUUGCGGAAUGGGCGAAAGCCUGACGCAGCCAUGCCGCGUGAAUGAUGAAGGUCUUAGGAUUGUAAAAUUCUUUCACCGGGGACGAUAAUGACGGUACCGGAGAAGAAGCCCCGGCUAACUUCGUGCCAGCCGCCGCCGUAA